AUACGCGUGGAGGCCGCCACGUCGGAAAUUGACGGAGAAUUGGUGAGGAUGCGGGACUUGGGCACUGGAAGACUUCGCGCGCUGUUUUCAAGCUCUCGCUUGUUCGCCGUCUGACGGGAGGGGCUCGGAGCACCGGAGACGUGCUGGGGACCGGCGAAAGUGACUGAUCGCAUGCUGCAGACUUCGAAACGGUAUGAAUAUGCGUGCCUUUGGGAACCCGCAGUUUAGGCGGGAACUCUGGGAGGGAACCUAUGGCGGCAACUUUUGGCGGGAAACGGACUCUCCGCACCAUGGACAUUCAGAAAUGGACAGUGCGCGUCGUUUGCCAGUACCGAACUGUUUGCUGGAUACUGUGGAACACUUGGCAAUACCUCGGAAUGACGAAAAAGACUGACUGCAAGAACUCGCUCCAAGCGGCGAAAGGCAGGAACGGUUGGCUCCCGGUGCAGUUCUCGAAAAUCAAAAGGUGAACCUGACCUAUGGGUCAAAUUCGAUGCUACGAGAUGUGGUGCUUGGCUUGGACGGCAACCGGACAUCUCUGCAACACAUAUCUUCAACUGUGUGGCAAGUGGAGCCGAAUGGACAACUUCAAAUGAGCAUGACUGAACAACGCGGAUAAAGAACUGGCUUCUAGCUACCAGCUUCAUCGCAUCCCAUCGCAGAGUGAGUGUGCGAGGUCAGUAGCCUCGUGGCGAGGGUGAAAUGCGUUCAAGGAACCGCUUGAAUACAUAAUAUUGGCAUUAGCUGAAGCUUGACAUGGCCAAUAACUGAAAGCAGCUAGACAUUCCAUACCAGAUUAUCAACAGUGCACAGUAGUGUACAAUUCGGCCUCAGGUUCCUUGGAGCAUCACCACUAGAGGUCUUGUCAGUGACGGAAACGUGAGGAGCUACGUUGCGUAUUAGUUUCAGGUUGAGCGCACCUCGGGCAGCGAUAGCAGAUAGGGUUUGCACCUUACGUUUGCGUUACGGACAGCGGCCUGUUCCGAAUGCACUUGCAACCAAGUCCUUUUAUCGUGUCAAGGAAUGCCCGCGCGCGAAAAGUGCUCUUGAUCGAUAAAUUGACCCUAGUCGCAAAAGGCAUUCGGAAUUCUCGCCCACCACAUCUAGCAACCCCGAAGAAAGGACGUUGCCUACGGUCUGCGACACAUCGCACUUCCGUUGCAGCAAAGGUACUGUGACUGACCAUUUACCGACAAAUGCUGUAAUUAUGAAUAACAACGGGGAUUUCGGCUCAUGGACUGUUUACUUGGCUGCAACCUCUGUGGGAUAUAAGACGUU